UACGGGGGGAGCAAGCGUUGUUCGGAUUUACUGGGCGUAAAGGGCGCGUAGGCGGCCUCUGCAAGUCAGUUGUGAAAUCUCCGGGCUUAACUCGGAAAGGUCAACUGAUACUGCAGGGCUAGAGUGCGGAAGGGGCAACUGGAAUUCUCGGUGUAGCGGUGAAAUGCGUAGAUAUCGAGAGGAACACCUGCGGCGAAGGCGGGUUGCUGGGCUGACACUGACGCUGAUGCGCGAAAGCCAGGGGAGCGAACGGG
rnacentral:rRNA from 1 species